CACGUAGGGGGCAAGCGUUGUCCGGAAUCAUUUGGGCGUAAAGAGCUCGUAGGCGGCUCAGUAAGUCGGGGUGUGAAAACCCCUCAGGCUCAACCUGGGGGACGCCACCCGAUACUGCUGUGGCUAGAGUCCAGUAGGGGAGUGUGGAAUUUCCCGGUGUAGCGGUGAAAAUGCGCAGAUAUCGGGAGGAACACCAGCGGCGAAGGCGGCACUCUGGGCUGGUACUGACGCUGAGGAGCGAAAGCGUGGGUAGCAAACAGGA
rnacentral:rRNA from 1 species